rnacentral:piRNA from 1 species
UCCCAUGACGAGGAUGUUCACACAACCCU